AUUGAACGCUGGCGGCAGGCCUAACACAUGCAAGUCGAACGAGUGGCGGACGGGUGAGUAAUGUCUGGGAAACUGCCUGAUGGAGGGGGAUAACUACUGGAAACGGUAGCUAAUACCGCAUACCAUCAGAUGUGCCCAGAUGGGAUUAGCUAGUUGGUGGGGUAACGGCUCACCAAGGCGACGAUCCCUAGCUGGUCUGAGAGGAUGACGGGCAACACUGUAAUUGAGACACGUGCCAGACUCCUACGGGAGGCAGCAGUGGGGAAUAUUCCACAAUGGGCGAACGCCGGAUUCAGCCAUGCCGUGUGUAUGAAGAAGGCCUUCUGGUUGUAAAGUACUUUCAGCGGGGAGGCGUUAUCCGCAGAAGAAUCACCGGCUAACUCCGUGCCAGCAGCCGCGGUAAUAC
rnacentral:rRNA from 1 species